rnacentral:rRNA from 1 species
AUUGAACGCUGGCGGCAGGCCUAACACAUGCAAGUCGAGCGAGCAGCGGACGGGUGAGUAAUGUAUCGGGACUGCCCGAUAGAGGGGGAUAACUACUGGAAACGGUGGCUAAUACCGCAUACUAUCGGAUAACCCAUAUGGGAUUAGCUAGUAGGUGGGGUAAAGGCUCACCUAGGCGACGCUCUCUAGCUGGUCUGAGAGGAUGAUCAGCAACAGUGGAACUGAGACAAGGCCCAGACUCCUACGGAGGCAGAAGGGGGAAGUUUGGACGAAUGGGCGAAAGCUGGAUGAAGCCAUGCGGCGUGUAUGAUGAAGGCCUUAGAGUGGAAAAGUAAGUUCAGCGGGGAGGCGGUACCCGCAGAGGAAGCACAGGCUAACUCCGUGCCAGCAGCCGCGGUAAUAC